AUGAACGCUAGCGGCAGGCUUAACACAUGCAAGUCGAACGGUAACAUGAGUAGCAAUACUUGAUGACGAGUGGCGCACGGGUGCGUAACGCGUAUGCAACUUACCUCUAACUGGAAGAUACCCUUCCGAAAGGAAGAAUAAUACUCCAUUAUAUUUCGAUGUGGCAUCACAUUGUUCUUAAAGCUUCGGCGGUUAGAGAUAGGCAUGCGUCUGAUUAGCUUGUUGGUGAGGUAAUGGCUCACCAAGGCAACGAUCAGUAGGGGGCCUGAGAGGGUUAUCCCCCACACUGGUACUGAGACACGGACCAGACUCCUACGGGAGGCAGCAGUGAGGAAUAUUGGUCAAUGGACGCAAGUCUGAACCAGCCAUGCCGCGUGCAGGAUGAAUGCCCUAUGGGUUGUAAACUGCUUUUAUAUAGGAAUAAACCUCCCGACGUGUCGGGAGCUGAAGGUACUAUAAGAAUAAGGACCGGCUAACUCCGU
rnacentral:rRNA from 1 species